UCCGGUUUGACACCGGCAGUCUCCCUAGAGUGCCCGGCAUAACCCGCUGGUAACUAGGGGCGAGGGUUGCGCUCGUUGCGGGACUUAACCCAACAUCUCACGACACGAGCUGACGACAGCUAUGCAGCACCUGUGUGCAGGUCCCCGAAGGGAAGGAAUCCAUCUCCGGAAGCCGUCCUGCCAUGUCAAGGGCAGGUAAGGUUCUUCGCGUUGCGUCGAAUUGAACCACAUGCUCCACCGCUUGUGCGGGCCCCCGUCAAUUCCUUUGAGUUUUAACCUUGCGGCCGUAGUCCCCAGGCGGAGCACUUAAUGCGUUAGCUGCGGCACCGCGGGGGUCAAUACCCACGACACCUAGUGCUCAUCGUUUACAGCGUGGACUAC
rnacentral:misc_RNA from 1 species